rnacentral:lncRNA from 1 species
UACUAAAGUGCCAUUUUUAAAGCUAUGCCAUGGAAGGAUGUAAAUACAUGUGAAACUAUUCAGAAGCAAGCCACUAAAUCAACAGUUAGGCUUUUUUUUUUCGUUUUAAAAUUGUUAUCCAAAGCAUAAUUUAGAAGAAUAUUAGCUUGGAAUAAUCUGUUCUUUUCCUUUGCACUUUAUUAAACAAAGCAAGAGAAAUAUGUUUUGGCCCCCACAGAAUUUACAGAGUGACAAUUAGGCACCUCAUCUAUAAGUUUCUGAUCCAGAAGCUAGGAUCAAAGUCAUUAGAAUUCAUAUUAAGUUAGCAUGAGGUUACUUGGAAAAGGGCAGAAGGCUUGAUUGUAUCUAUAAAAACCAAUAAAUCUUUGUAUCUAAAAAUGUAAAACACUUUGAUCAGAACAUCAUUAUAGGAAGCGGAAAUGUUUAAAGUUACCUUUCAAGUGGCAUUUUAAGGAUGUGGAGACAGUUUCCAUACUCGGUGUGCUCGUGACUUGGCAAAGUCACUGGUUGUCACGUCUUUUGAUGUCCUGUUGUCGAUGGCAUUGAGUCUCAUCCUUGCUGAGUACAGUUAUGAAAUCACCUUAAUAUAAUGUAAAUGCCAAUGGUAAAAGCCAGAUCUGCAAAGGAUGUGUUAAUUCUGUAUUCCUCACAUUUGUUGAACACCAUUCUUUCUCUAGAGAUAGAAAAGUCUCUGAUGCCUCUCUGUUCCUCAAGGGAUGCUUGCAAAACUGGAGUCUGUUCUCCUUAUCUGCUCACCCACUACUAAAGACAACUGUGAAUUAAACAAAUCUGAAAGAAAUUGUGUUUGGACAGAAUAAUAGUGCUUUCCUGCCAGUCACUGUUUCUUACUUAAUGCAGUAUAUCAAUUAUUAACAUGGAAUUUGUACACCAUAUCCAUAAUAUAAGCAGUCUAGAGAUGGCUUAAGACAUAUGUGCAGAUUGCAGAGGCCUUAUGCAAAUGUUAUGAGAUUUUACAUAAGGACUCGAACAAUAGAUUAUGAUAUUACAGAGAUCCUGAAACCUUCCCUCCACCUCUCCCUACCUUCCAACACAGGACACAGAAGGACAAUUGGAACCCCUUGCAACUUGGUUUCAUUCUGAAUUGUCUUUUCUCCAAGAAGAGAUGUAAUUUUUGUGUAUAAUUUAUCAUUCAUUUACAUUCUAAGCAGGCUGCCCACUGACAAGUCUUUCAAGAUUCCUUUAGAUUAGAGGUUUUAUUGUUUUGUUUUGUUUUUGUUUGUUUGUUACCUGAAAGAAUUAAUCUUGUAAUAUCGACCUUUGUCCAUCUAGAAGACUAGCUUUCCAUCUUUCUUGGGUGUAGUCAUCACCUGAGACCAUGUACUACAGGGUCCAAGCUCCUUACUUUUUAGAAGAGAGCUCCUCUCUUGCCCCUCUGCAGCUGCCAUCUAUGGCAGGCAAAGUGCACAUUUCUGUUGUAGAACUUAUAUUCACACUCCUAGAGCAUGGCAUGAAAUCAUAGCGUGAGUCUCAGUUUCCUCCAAAGUGGAGACUGAAGGGCAGCCGAAAAGAAAAAGAUAUUUAUAGUUGUCAAGGUAUGCAAGUUUUUAAGAGCAGACAUGAGUGACUUAAGUUGUUCUUGGGUAUGGGAUUUGAACACUAAUAGGAGAAAACAAGUCCCCAGAUGAAGUGGCUCUUUUUUGCAUAUCACUUGGGGUAAAUAAAAAAAUAGAAAU